CCUACGGGGGGCAGCAGUGAGGAAUAUUGGUCAAUGGGCGCGAGCCUGAACCAGCCAAGCAGCGUGAAGGAUGACUGCACUACGGGUUGUAAACUUCUUUUGUAAGGGAAUAAAGGGAGGCACGUGUGCCUGUUUGAAUGUAUCUUAUGAAUAAGGAUCGGCUAACUCCGUGCCAGCAGCCGCGGUAAUACGGAGGAUCCGAGCGUUAUCCGGAUUUAUUGGGUUUAAAGGGUGCGUAGGUGGGUUGUUAAGUUAGUUGUGAAAGGUUGGGGCUCAACCCCGAAAUUGCCAUUGAUACUGGCGGACUAGAGUACAGUUGAGGUAGGUGGAAUGCGUGGUGUAGCGGUGAAAUGCUUAGAGAUCACGCAGAACUCCGAUUGCGAAGGCAGCGUACCAAACUGCCACUGACGUUGAGGCACGAAAGUGUGGGUAUCAAACAGGAUUAGAUACCCCAGUAGUC
rnacentral:rRNA from 1 species